UACGAAGGGGGCUAGCGUUGUUCGGAAUUACUGGGCGUAAAGCGCGCGCAGGCGGUCUUCCAAGUCAGUGGUGAAAGCCCGGAGCUCAACUCCGGAACUGCCAUUGAAACUGUUGGACUUGAGUACGAGAGAGGUGAGUGGAAUUCCCAGUGUAGAGGUGAAAAUUCGUAGAUAUUCGCAAGAACACCAGUGGCGAAGGCGGACUCACUGGCCCGAUACUGACGCUGAGGCACGAAAGCGUGGGGAGCAAACAGG
rnacentral:rRNA from 1 species